rnacentral:lncRNA from 1 species
AUGUCUCUCCCUUUUUACAUUCUCUCUUUCUCCCCUCUACAGGAGAAUAAAUUUCUAUUCCAAUGUUCUUUCUCUCUCGAGAAUUCUCGAGAAUUGUCAUUCUCGGUCACCGAGAGACUACCACUAAUACUGGCUAAGAUUCUGACUGGAAGCCAAGAGUCCAUACCUCUAUAAAUGUUUAUUUAUUAUUUGGCAAGAACAAAUGGGAAUGUCUUCAUAGUACAUAUGACCAAUUCAACUGGAAUGGGGACCAAGCUCAAGACAUUUUGGGAUGUCAAAAAAGUUGGACAAAGGCAUUUGUUUAAAAAACAAGAUAUGCCAUAAGAAAUGAUAAGCAGGCUAAUAAAACUUGGAAAGACCUAGACA